ACUCAAAUGAAUAGACGGGGGCCCGCACAAGCGGUGGAGCAUGUGGUUUAAUUCGACGCAACGCGAAGAACCUUACCCAGACUUGACUUCUACAGAAUCUGUACGAAAGUAUGGAGUGCCUUCGGGAGCUGUAAGACAGGUGCUGCAUGGCUGUCGUCAGCUCGUGUCGUGAGAUGUUGGGUUAAGUCCCGCAACGAGCGCAACCCUCGUCCUUAGUUACCAGCAUUAAGUUGGGGACUCUAGGGAGACCGCCGGUGUUAAACCGGAGGAAGGUGGGGAUGACGUCAAGUCCUCAUGGCCUUUAUGUCUGGGGCUACACACGUGCUACAAUGGCCGGUACAAAGGGCUGCAAUGCCGAAAGGCGGAGCCAAUCCCAAAAAACCGGUCUCAGUUCGGAUUGAAGUCUGCAACUCGACUUCAUGAAGCUGGAAUCGCUAGUAAUCGCGCAUCAGAACGGCGCGGUGAAUACGUUCCCGGGCCUUGUACACACCGCCCGU
rnacentral:rRNA from 1 species